rnacentral:sRNA from 1 species
AUGUAUCACUCGUGCAUUCCGGUUUCUGCGCGCCGUCCGCCCCCAGGUGACAACUGCUCGCUACGUUUUGUUAGCC